GACGAAGGGGGCUAGCGUUGUUCGGAAUUACUGGGCGUAAAGCGUGCGCAGGCGGUUCGCAAAGACAGGUGUGAAAUCCCCGGGCUUAACCUGGGAACUGCGCUUGUAACUAGCGGGCUAGAGUACGGCAGAGGGGGGUGGAAUUCCACGUGUAGCAGUGAAAUGCGUAGAGAUGUGGAGGAACACCGAUGGCGAAGGCAGCCCCCUGGGCUAGUACUGACGCUCAUGCACAAAAGCGUGGGGAGCAAACAGG
rnacentral:rRNA from 1 species